rnacentral:rRNA from 1 species
GCGUGUGUGAAGAAGGCCUUAGGGUUGUAAAGCACUUUCAAUAGAGAGGAAGGCUGUUGUGUUAAUAGCACAGCAGAUUGACGUUACCUAUAGAAGAAGCACCGGCUAACUCCGUGCCAGCAGCCGCGGUAAUACGGAGGGUGCAAGCGUUAAUCGGAAUUACUGGGCGUAAAGCGCGCGUAGGCGGCCUAUCAAGUCAGAUGUGAAAGCCCCGGGCUCAACCUGGGAACUGCAUUUGAUACUGAUAAGCUAGAAUUUGGUAGAGGGAAGUGGAAUUCCGAGUGUAGCGGUGAAAUGCGU